rnacentral:rRNA from 1 species
GACGAACGCUGGCGGCGUGCUUAACACAUGCAAGUCGAACGGAAAGGCCCUGCUUUUGUGGGGUGCUCGAGUGGCGAACGGGUGAGUAACACGUGAGUAACCUGCCCUUGACUUUAGGAUAACUUCAGGAAACUGGGGCUAAUACCGGAUAGGAGCUCUUGCUGCAUGGUGGGGGUUGGAAAGUUUCGGCGGUUGGGGAUGGACUCGCGGCUUAUCAGCUUGUUGGUGGGGUAGUGGCUUACCAAGGCUUUGACGGGUAGCCGGCCUGAGAGGGUGACCGGCCACAUUGGGACUGAGAUACGGCCCAGACUCCUACGGGAGGCAGCAGUGGGGAAUAUUGCACAAUGGGCGGAAGCCUGAUGCAGCAACGCCGCGUGCGGGAUGACGGCCUUCGGGUUGUAAACCGCUUUCGCCUGUGACGAAGCGUGAGUGACGGUAAUGGGUAAAGAAGCACCGGCUAACUACGUG